UACGUAGGGGGCGAGCGUUGUCCGGAAUGAUUGGGCGUAAAGGGCGCGUAGGCGGCUUUGCAAGUCGGUAGUGGAAGUCCAUUUUUCAAGGAUGGAAGUGCUACAGAAACUGCGGAGCUUGAGUGCAGGAGAGGUUAUCGGAAUUCCCGGUGUAGCGGUGAAAUGCGUAGAGAUCGGGAGGAACACCAGUGGCGAAGGCGGGUAACUGGACUGCAACUGACGCUGAGGCGCGAAAGUGUGGGGAGCAAACAGGAUUAGAUACCCGGGUAGUCCCU
rnacentral:rRNA from 1 species